rnacentral:rRNA from 1 species
CCUACGGGUGUCAGCAGUGAGGAAUAUUGGUCAAUGGUCGGAAGACUGAACCAGCCAAGCCGCGUGAGGGAUGAAGGUCCAGAGUAUCGUAAACCUCUUUUGUCAGGGAACAAAGUCGGGGACGUUUCCCCGGAUGAGUGUACCUGAAGAAAAAGCAUCGGCUAACUCCGUGUCAUCAGCCGCGGUAAUACGGAGGAUGCGAGCGUUAUCCGUAUUUAUUGGGUUUAAAGGGUGGGCAGGCGGUCUGUUAAGUCAGCGGUAAAAGCCCGGGGCUCAACCCCGGCCCGCCGUUGAAACUGGCAGUCUAGAGUUGGAGAGAAGUAUGCGGAAUGCGAGGUGUAGCGGUGAAAGGCAUAGAUAUCGCGCAGAACUCCGAUUGCGAAGGCAGCAUGCCGGCUCCACACUGACGCGGAGGCACGAAAGCGUGGGUAUCGAACAGGAUUAGAUACCCUGGUAGUC